rnacentral:rRNA from 1 species
AUUGAACGCUGGCGGCAGGCUUAACACAUGCAAGUCGAGCGGAGCGAGGGUGCUUGCACCUUAGCUUAGCGGCGGACGGGUGAGUAAUGCUUAGGAAUCUGCCUAUUAGUGGGGGACAACAUUCCGAAAGGAAUGCUAAUACCGCAUACGCCCUACGGGGGAAAGCAGGGGAUCUUCGGACCUUGCGCUAAUAGAUGAGCCUAAGUCGGAUUAGCUAGUUGGUGGGGUAAAGGCCUACCAAGGCGACGAUCUGUAGCGGGUCUGAGAGGAUGAUCCGCGACACUGGGACUGGAACACGGCCCAGACUCCUACGGGAGGCAGCAGUGGGGAAUAUUGGACAAUGGGCGGAAGCCUGAUCCAGCCAUGCCGCGUGUGUGAAGAAGGCCUUUUGGUUGUAAAGCACUUUAAGCGAGGAGGAGGCUACUUAGAUUAAUACUCUGGGAUAGUGGACGUUACUCGCAGAAUAAGCACCGGCUAACUCUGUGCCAGCCGCCGCAGUAA